CCGGCGCACGGUGGCGUAACGCGUAUGCAAUCUACCUUUUGCAGAGGGAUUAGCCCAGAGAAAUUUGGAUUAAUACCUCAUAGUAUAGUACUUUGGCAUCAAGGAACUAUUAAAGUUCCAACGGUGAAGAUGAGCAUGCGUCCCAUUAGCUAGAUGGUAAGGUAACGGCUUACCAUGGCUACGAUGGGUAGGGGUCCUGAGAGGGAGAUCCCCCACACUGGUACUGAGACACGGACCAGACUCCUACGGGAGGCAGCAGUGAGGAAUAUUGGUCAAUGGACGCAAGUCUGAACCAGCCAUGCCGCGUGCAGGAUGACGGUCCUAUGGAUUGUAAACUGCUUUUGUACGAGAAGAAACAACAUUACGUGUAAUGUCUUGACGGUAUCGUAAGAAUAAGGAUCGGCUAACUCCGUG
rnacentral:rRNA from 1 species